GGACUCGCCAGCCUUACCCACGGCUCCCGCGCCCGGCCUGCCGCGAACCCUGCAGUCUCCUUGCAGGCUGAUGUUCCUGGUACAGCUCAUCCAUCCUUGACAUCUGAGUCCGUUCCCUAGAGCCCCAGACGGAGACCCAGCACGCCAUGUGGACACAGGCAGGGAGCCACGCCCCCUGCUUUCCCCAAAAGACUGAAGAAACACCGAGAAGUGGUGCCUAAGCCUUCUUCACAUGCUGGGAAGUGGACAAUCACAAGUUCAAACCUAGCCUGGGUAAUUUAAUGACUUAGUAAGACCCUGUCUCAAAAUUUUAAAAGAGGGGUGGGGAUGUAGCUCAGUGGCAAGGUUCCAGGUUUAAUCCCUUGUAGCCCCCCCCCCUCCCAAAAUAAAAGACUGAAGAAGCCCCUUUGGACAGUGCAAGGUGAUGAUGAUUAGAAUCACACUAAUCACAGCUCUCAUUAUGCACUAUUCCAAUGCUUUACCUAAGGUGUUUUCUUUAUCUUUUAUUAUUUUGCAGUGUGGGGAUAGAACCCGGGGUCUCGUGUAUGCUAGGCAAGAGCUUUACCACUGAGCUACAUCCCCAGCCUGCACCUAAGCUACUACAUCACUGACUCCCCACAUAAUCUUAUGAGUGAGGCUUUAUGAUUCCUCCCUUUUACAGAGGAAGAAACUGAGGAUCAGAAAGGUGAAGUGGCUUGCUCAAGGCAUGGCAGUGCACCCCUGUGAUCCCAGCACUUGGGAGGCUGAGGCAGGAAGACCACAAGUUCAAGGCCAGCUGGGGCUGCAUAACAAGACCCUGUCUCAAAAUAAAAAUUUUUUAAAGGAUAGAGAGACAGCUCAGUGGUAGAGCACUUGCCAAGCAUGCACAAGCCCCUGCUUCAAUCCCCAGUACUGCAAAAAUCAAACAAACAUAGAUUUCAAGAGCUGGUGUAAUGUAAGACGUAAAUGUGGAAGCUCUGAGUCACACUGGUCUCCAUCCACAUCCUGACUCUGUCACUUCCCUGUGCCUCAGUUUCUUCAUCUGUCAAAGCGAGCUAAUAACAAUUCUCCCUUCUGAGGGCUGGGAGAAAGUACAGGUGGCAUCGCUCAGCUCAGUAAUCUGGCUAGGAGGGGAGGCCCAGUGCACAUUCCUGUUAAUGAUUGGCCUAGCACAGCCAUUUUUAGCAGACCAGGACAAGGGCUACAUUGUGGAAAACUAUGCAGCCAUUAACAAGGAAUGUAGCUGAUUAAUCUUUUUUUUUUUUUCUUUCAGUGCCAGGGAUUGAACUCAGGACCUUGCAUUUGUGAGGCAGGCGGGGCACCACUGAGCUGAAUCCCUAGCCCCAAUCUGUUCUUAUCUUACACUGGAAGAUGUCUAAAAUAUACUGUUGUUAAAAACCAAAUUUUAGAUAAUGUAUAUCAAAGCUUCUGCAACUCUAA